UACUAGAAAUCUGUUCAUAGACAUCACAUGUUUUAAAUCGGUCAGACUUGCCCACGAUGUAAAAAAGUAAUCUAACAUCGUUUUACGAAAAUACCGAUUUAAAUGUAUGUCAUUAACACCAGUUCUUAAAAUGACCGGUGUUAAAAGUUUAGUUCGAAAAUUUGCGGGAACCUAUUUUUGCAAAAAAACGCUAAGUUUUUAAGUGAAAUGAAGAAGCGGGGACUAAAACUCAAAACUUUCACACUUAGAAAAAAAAUUGCGCCCAAAUAGAAACAGAUGGAAAACCCUAAUGUUACUCUCCCUCGACCUCCUUCAUUCUGAACUCCUCCCAAACUAGAUCUCCUCCCAAACUCGACCUCCAUUCUGGACCCUAAGCUCACUCGAACUCGCCGCCAUUCUGGAGCUCCUCAUUGCUUCCUUCAUCUCCCUCUCUCUCCCUCCCUAGUUUCACAGGUAGCUAGCUCACACAAAUCGAGCCAUGGCUCCUCCCAGUAUUCUCGGUCCUCCCGAGUUCCACAAACCCUCACCCACCACCACCGCUCCGCGCGCCACCCCAACCCAAAUCCAAACCCGACUCCAAACCCACCACCGGCGAAUCCUUCGUGGACCUGAUGGUGGCGAAUUUCAACGACGUCGGAACCAAGCACGACCUCCCAAUGGGCCUGACGGAGAACGACUCUGCCACGUUUCUCUCCACCGGCAACCCCUGCCUCGAUCUCUUCUUCCACGUCAUCCCAAACACUCCAGGCGACUACCUCACGUCCUCACCGAUGGGACUCCAAUGGUGGCCAGUGUCGUGUCACUGGAUUCUUCCUUUAUCGCAAUCACUUCAUCUUCUUCACCUUCAUAUUCUUCUUCGUUUUUAACGAAACUAAGGCACGCGCCGAGUCUGUGACUUUGUUUUGCAGUCACGCCCUUGAGUGGGAAGAAGCACAUGGCUCACACAAUUGCUCACAUCACUCUCGGCCUCACUCAGAUUUCUUCUGUCUUUGAAGCCCCAAAGUGAUGUUCUACAGGUAGAGGUUCUGGGCUGUUGGUUGGGCUGAUUGGGAAAAGGUGAAGUUUUCAAAGGUUGAAUUGCUCCCAAAAGGCUUGGAAAUCCGGACUGAAGUUUUCAAAGGUGAACUUUUUUAUUUUUUGCGUAUCUUGAACGAGGUUGAGUAUGUUAUACUGUUUCCACUCAAUAUUUGGAGUGCGAAAUCUUGCCAAUGUUCUCACACCUGGUUCAUUUUAGCUUUACUAUUGCCAUUUUGGUGGGCCAUACUUGUAAUUUUUAUGUUGAUUGAGUUAUAUCUAGUAUUGCUAUGUGCUUGCUUCCUCGAAGGCUUGGAAAUCCGGUUUCAAUUGCUCGCAACAGGAUUGGAAAUCUGGUUUCUUUCACAGAAGAUUUUCCUCUGCUGAACUUGCUACGAGGACUGGUAUAAUCUAGGUGGUUUUCAGGUAGGAGGUGGGAUCAAUUCAGAUAAUUCUUUGCAAUACAUAGAAGAAGGGGCUACCCACGUCAUUGUCACUUCUUAUGUAUUUAAUAAUGGGCAAAACCUUGAAAGGCUUAAAGAUCUUGUUCGUGUUGUUGGAAAAGAAAGGCUUGUUUUAGACCUUAGCUGUAGAAAGAGGGAAGGUAAAUAUGCAAUUGUCACAGAUAGAUGGCAAAAGUUCAGUGACGUGUAUCUUGACAAGGAAAUAUUAGACUUCAUUGCCAAGUAUGCAGACGAGUUUCUGGUACAUGGUGUC